rnacentral:rRNA from 1 species
GACGAACGCUGGCGGCGUGCUUAACACAUGCAAGUCGAGCGGUAAGGCCCUUUCGGGGUACGACGAGCGGCGAACGGGUGAGUAACACGUGGGUGACCUGCCCUCCAGCUCUGGGAUAAGCCCGGGAAACUGGGUCUAAUACUGGAUAUGACUCCAUGACGCAUGUUGUGGGGUGGAAAGCCUUGUGCGGCUGAGGAUGGGCCCGCGGCCUAUCAGCUUGUUGGUCGGGNGAUGGCCUACCAAGGCGACGACGGGUAGCCGGCCUGAGAGGGCGACCGGCCACACUGGGACUGAGACACGGCCCAGACUCCUACGGGAGGCAGCAGUGGGGAAGUCUUGCGCAAUGGGCGAAAGCCUGACGCAGCGACGCCGCGUGAGGGAUGACGGCCU